UACGAAGGGGGCGAGCGUUGUUCGGAUUUACUGGGCGUAAAGGGCGCGCAGGCGGCAGACCAAGUCAGGCGUGAAAGCCCCGGGCUUAACCUGGGAGGUGCGUCUGGGACUGGUAAGCUAGAGUUCGGGAGAGGAGAGUGGAAUUCCCAGUGUAGAGGUGAAAUUCGUAGAUAUUGGGAAGAACACCGGUGACGAAGGCGGCAUCCUGGACCAAUACUGACGCUGAGGAGCGAAAGCCAGGGGAGCAAACGGG
rnacentral:rRNA from 1 species